UACGAAGGGGGCUAGCGUUGUUCGGAAUAACUGGGCAUAAAGCGCACGUAGGCGGACUUGCAAGUCAGGGGUGAAAUCCCGGGGCUCAACCUCGGAACUGCCUUUGAAACUGCGAGUCUGGAAUCUCAGAGGGGAUAGCGGAAUUCCAAAUGUAGGGGUGAAAUCCGUAGAUAUUUGGAGGAACACCGGUGGCGAAGGCGGCUAUCUGGAUGAGUAUUGACGCUGAGGUGCGAAAGCGUGGGGAUCAAACAGG
rnacentral:rRNA from 1 species